AUGACCUGGGCUCUUCUCCUCCUCAGCUUCCUCAGCCAGGGCCCAGGGUUCUGGGCCCAGAAUAUCCUUACUCAGCUUUCCUCAGUAUCUGGGACUCAGGGACAGACAGUGACCAUCUCCUGUACAGGAACCAGCAAUGACAUUGGGAAAUAUGACUAUGUCUCCUGGUACCAGCAGAAUGGGGGCACAGUCCCCAAAAUGCUAAUUUAUGAGGUCAAAAAAAGGCCAUCCGGGAUCCCUGAUCGCUUCUCUGGCUCCAAGUCUGGCAACACAGCGACCCUGACCAUCUCUGGGCUCAAGCCUGAGGAUGAGGCUGAUUACUACUGUUGCUCACCCAAGAGUGAUGGUGCGCGCACAGUGGUUCACGCUCAUGGGUAA